rnacentral:rRNA from 1 species
CGGGAGCCCCCUUCCUCGGGCUUGCAGGUUUCUCGAGAGGAAAAAAGUUAGUGGCGCACGGGUGCGUAACGCGUGGGAAUUUGCCCUUUGCUUCGGAAUAACUCAGGGAAACUUGUGCUAAUACCGGAUGAUGUCGAAAGACCAAAGAUUUAUCGGCAAGGGAUGAGCCCGCGUAGGAUUAGGUAGUUGGUGGGGUAAAGGCCUACCAAGCCGACGAUCCUUAGCUGGUCUGAGAGGAUGAUCAGCCACACUGUACUGAGACACGGCCCAGACUCCUACGGGAGGCAGCAGUGGGGAAUAUUGGACAAUGGGCGAAAGCCUGAUCCAGCAAUGCCGCGUGAGUGAUGAAGGCCUUAGGGUCGUAAAGCUCUUUUACCAGGGAUGAUAAUGACAGUACCUGGAGAAUAAGCUCCGGCUAACUCCGUGCCAGCAGCCGCGGUAAUACGGAGGGAGCUAGCGUUGUUCGGAAUUACUGGGCGUAAAGCGUACGUAGGCGGUUAUUCAAGUCAGAGGUGAAAGCCCGGGGCUCAACCCCGGAACGGCCUUUGAAACUAGGUAGCUAGAAUCUUGGAGAGGUCAGUGGAAUUCCGAGUGUAGAGGUGAAAUUCGUAGAUAUUCGGAAGAACACCAGUGGCGAAGGCGACUGACUGGACAAGUAUUGACGCUGAGGUACGAAAGCGUGGGGAGCAAACAGGAUUAGAUACCCUGGUAGUCCACGCCGUAAGCGAUGAUAACUAGCUGUCCGGGCACUUGGUGCCUGGGUGGCGCAGCUAACGCAUUAAGUUAUCCGCCUGAGGAGUACGGUC